GAUGAACGCUGGCGGCGUGCCUAAUACAUGCAAGUCGAGCGAACAGAUGAGGAGCUUGCUCCUCUGACGUUAGCGGCGGACGGGUGAGUAACACGUGGAUAACCUACCUAUAAGACUGGGAUAACUUCGGGAAACCGGAGCUAAUACCGGAUAAUAUAUUGAACCGCAUGGUUCAAUAGUGAAAGACGGUUUUGCUGUCACUUAUAGAUGGAUCCGCGCCGCAUUAGCUAGUUGGUAAGGUAACGGCUUACCAAGGCAACGAUGCGUAGCCGACCUGAGAGGGUGAUCGGCCACACUGGAACUGAGACACGGUCCAGACUCCUACGGGAGGCAGCAGUAGGGAAUCGUCCGCAAUGGGCGAAAGCCUGACGGAGCAACGCCGCGUGAGUGAUGAAGGUCUUCGGAUCGUAAAACUCUGUUAUGAGGGAAGAACAAAUGUGUAAGUAACUAUGCACGUCUUGACGGUACCUAAUCAGAAAGCCACGGCUAACUACGUG
rnacentral:rRNA from 1 species